rnacentral:rRNA from 1 species
GAUGAACGCUGGCGGCGUGCCUAAUACAUGCAAGUCGAACGAGUGGCGGACGGGUGAGUAAUGUCUGGGAAACUGCCCGAUGGAGGGGGAUAACUACUGGAAACGGUAGCUAAUACCGCAUACCAUCGGAUGUGCCCAGAUGGGAUUAGCUCGUGGGGGGGGUAACGGCUCACCUAGGCGACGAUCCCUAACUGGUCUGAGAGGAGUACUAGCCCCACUGGAACUGAGAGACGGUCCAGACUCCUACGGGAGGCAGCAGUGGGGAAUAUUGCACAAUGGGCGCAAGCCUGAUGCAGCCAUGCCGCGUGUAUGAAGAAGGCCUUCGGGUUGUAAAGUACUUUCAGCGAGGAGGCGUUACUCGCAGAAGAAGCACCGGCUAACUCCGUGCCAGCAGCCGCGGUAAUUC